AAUCCAUAGGUUAAUGAGGCGAACCGGGGGAACUGAAACAUCUAAGUACCCCGAGGAAAAGAAAUCAACCGAGAUUCCCCCAGUAGCGGCGAGCGAACGGGGAGGAGCCCAGAGCCUGAAUCAGCAUGUGUGUUAGUGGAAGCGUCUGGAAAGGCGCGCGAUACAGGGUGACAGCCCCGUACACAAAAGCGCAUGUGCUGUGAGCUCGAUGAGUAGGGCGGGACACGUGGUAUCCUGUCUGAAUAUGGGGGGACCAUCCUCCAAGGCUAAAUACUCCUGACUGACCGAUAGUGAACCAGUACCGUGAGGGAAAGGCGAAAAGAACCCCGGCGAGGGGAGUGAAAAAGAACCUGAAACCGUGUACGUACAAGCAGUGGGAGCCCCACCACCAAAGCAUUUGCUGUACCGUGUUGACGGAGCGAAGCGACGUCAAACCGAUAAAACAGCAGUGUAAAGUGAGCCGCAGGGCGCUUUGCGCGACAGCGCAAAGGCAGGCGGUUUCGCGUAGCGAAAGCGAAUGCUUUGGGGUGGGGUGACUGCGUACCUUUUGUAUAAUGGGUCAGCGACUUAUAUUCUGUAGCAAGGUUAACCGAAUAGGGGAGCCGGAGGGAAACCGAGUCUUAACCGGGCGUUAAGUUGCAGGGUAUAGACCCGAAACCCGGUGAUCUAGCCAUGGGCAGGUUGAAGGUUGGGUAACACUAACUGGAGGACCGAACCGACUAAUGUUGAAAAAUUAGCGGAUGACCUGUGGCUGGGGGUGAAAGGCCAAUCAAACCGGGAGAUAGCUGGUUCUCCCCGAAAGCUAUUUAGGUAGCGCCUCGUGAAUUCAUCUCCGGGGGUAGAGCACUGUUUCGGCUAGGGGGCCAUCCCGGCUUACCAACCCGAUGCAAACUGCGAAUACCGGAGAAUGUUAUCACGGGAGACACACGGCGGGUGCUAACGUCCGUCGUGAAGAGGGAAACAACCCAGACCGCCAGCUAAGGUCCCAAAGUCAUGGUUAAGUGGGAAACGAUGUGGGAAGGCCCAGACAGCCAGGAUGUUGGCUUAGAAGCAGCCAUCAUUUAAAGAAAGCGUAAUAGCUCACUGGUCGAGUCGGCCUGCGCGGAAGAUGUAACGGGGCUAAACCAU
rnacentral:rRNA from 1 species